rnacentral:rRNA from 1 species
AGAACGCUGGCGGCGUGCCUAANACAUGCAAGUCGAACGAACAGACGAAAGAGCUUGCUCUCCCAAAGUUAGUGGCGGACGGGUGAGUAACACGUGGGCAACCUGCCUGUAAGUUGGGGAUAACUCCGGGAAACCGGGGCUAAUACCGAAUGAUAAAGUGUGGCGCAUGCCACGCUUUUGAAAGAUGGUUUCGGCUAUCGCUUACAGAUGGGCCCGCGGUGCAUUAGCUAGUUGGUAGGGUAAUGGCCUACCAAGGCAACGAUGCAUAGCCGACCUGAGAGGGUGAUCGGCCACACUGGGACUGAGACACGGCCCAGACUCCUACGGGAGGCAGCAGUAGGGAAUCUUCCGCAAUGGACGAAAGUCUGACGGAGCAACGCCGCGUGUAUGAAGAAGGUUUUCGGAUCGUAAAGUACUGUUGUUAGAGAAGAACAAGGAUAAGAGUAACUGCUUGUCCCUUGACGGUAUCUAACCAGAAAGCCACGGCUAACUACGUGCCAGCAGCCGCG